rnacentral:rRNA from 1 species
CGAGGCCCCGUAAUCGGAAUGAGUACACUCUAAANCCUUUAACGAGGAUCAAUUGGAGGGCAAGUCUGGUGCCAGCAGCCGCGGUAAUUCCAGCUCCAAUAGCGUAUAUUAAAGUUGUUGCGGUUAAAAAGCUCGUAGUCGGAUUUGUGUCUCGCGCCGCCGGUUCAUCGUCCGCGGUGUUAACUGGCGUGUCGCGAGACGUAUUGCCGGUGGGCUCAGCCGGCGACGGCGGCCCGUUUAAUCCCGCCGCGGUGCUCUUCACUGAGUGUCGAGGUAGGCCGGCACGUUUACUUUGAACAAAUUAGAGUGCUUAAAGCAGGCUAAAAUAUCGCCUGAAUAUUGUGUGCAUGGAANAAUGGAAUAGGACCUCGGNUCUAUUUUGUUGGUUUUCGGAACCCCGAGGUAAUGAUUAAUAGGAACGGAUGGGGGCAUUCGUAUUGCGG